AUUGAACGCUGGCGGAAUGCUUUACACAUGCAAGUCGAGCGGCAGCGCGGGGGCAACCCUGGCGGCGAGCGGCGAACGGGUGAGUAAUAUAUCGGAACGUACCCCGUCGUGGGGGAUAACACAGCGAAAGCUGUGCUAAUACCGCAUACGACCUGAGGGUGAAAGCGGGGGAUCGCAAGACCUCGCGCGAUGGGAGCGGCCGAUAUCGGAUUAGCUUGUUGGUGAGGUAAAGGCUCACCAAGGCGACGAUCCGUAGCUGGUCUGAGAGGACGACCAGCCACACUGGAACUGAGACACGGUCCAGACUCCUACGGGAGGCAGCAGUGGGGAAUUUUGGACAAUGGGGGCAACCCUGAUCCAGCCAUUCCGCGUGAGUGAAGAAGGCCUUCGGUUGUAAAGCUCUUUCUAGUCAGGAACGAAACGGUA
rnacentral:rRNA from 1 species